GGGGUUGUAGCUCAGUGGAGGAGCACAUGCCUUCCAUGCGUGAAGCCCUGGGUUCAAUCCUCAGCACCA
rfam:Ictidomys tridecemlineatus contig089229, whole genome shotgun sequence.